rnacentral:lncRNA from 1 species
CGUGCAUCUGAGCACAGCCCACCCCGCAGCGGCACAGGCUGAGCCAGGAGAGGAGCAGUUGCCCUCGGCCCUGCUUCCCCACAGGGCUUGUUUCAGAGGGAUUUCUGCACCCAGGGGAGAGCUGCUCCGUGCUGGAGGUGUGUUGGACUUGAAGCGUGGCCUUUGGCGGUGUGCUGGGGGUGUGCGCCCCAAACGCUGCUGCUGGGGGCUCGCACAGCCCAGGGCUGAGCCCCAGGACUGGUACACACGACCUGCUGCUAAACACAGGCGCUUCCGGAGGAGCAGGGUGUUCAGCAUGGCACCCCGAGGGGGCACUCCUGCCCAGGGCAGAGCCGUGGUCGGGGCCCAGCCUGGUGCUGGAGCGAGGCAGGGGGCAGGCGAGACACGGCGCCUGCUCCACCGCCGCCCUCAGCGCCUACGUUGCCUUGUGUUUUGAGUAAAGGAUGUUCUUUAUUGCAGAGGUGUGGAUGGUGUCCCUGUUCCUGCCGGGACAUGGGGUGAUUGGGAUGUGAGUUCUGGGUUGAGCAGCCAGCCAGAGCCCACAGGCGCUGCUGGAGGGGAAGGGCACGGGAGGACAGCCCUGGCAGGUCGGCGCAGCCACAGCAUUAGCAUUAAGCAGGGAAAAUUAAUCUCCAGCCGCAGCGUGCCUGCUGGAUGAGAGUUAACACAAAGCUCCCGUCCACAGCUGGGGCUGGGCACUGCUGUGCAGGCCCUCCGAGGCAGCACCAGCAGGGGAAGGGGGCAGGGAAUGGGCAGAAGGAGCAGCAGCCCAGCUUUACGGGACAAGGACAGCCCUGGGACAGCAGGGCCUGCUCUGCAAACACCCCAGCGCUACGAGCACCCGCAGCCGAGCAGCUGGGAGGGCUCACCGGGACACACGGCAGGUGAAAUGCCCACAGGCAGGGGGGAAAAAAAAAUAAACAGUGCAGCCAAGUGGUUUCACAGGGAGCAUUCCCCUCCUUUAAUCCUCCACCACAACACAGCAGUAACACAGCCACAGGGAUUGACAGGCUGGAUGCCCUCACAGUGUGCGCCUGAUGCACCGCAGAGCUUGGGCACGGCCCUCGCCCUCUGCUGUGGCUGCAGGGGCACAGGGCUGCUCCCUCCUUCCAGCCCAGCCCACCCACCCCUCUGGCUGCACACGGGGGAUGUCCCAGCAGCCGCAGAUGUUGUCCUCUCAGGCUGAAUCUGCUCCUCUGGGCUCGAGGUACGAUGCAGGGCCAUCCACAGGGGGAAGCAAUACCCACCCUGCCUGGACUGGGGAGCGGUACGGGAUGUCCAGUGCAGCCCCGGGGACACUUACCUGCGUGGGG